CUACGGGAGGCUCCAGUUAGGUAUAAUCUACAAUGCGCGCAAGCGUGAUAGUUUGAGCCAGAGUGUUUUUCAUUGAAAGACUUUUAUGGAAUGUAAAAAGUUCCACGAAUAAGGACUGGGUAAGACUAGUGCCAGCCGCCGCGGUAAUACUAGCGGUCCAAGUCGCAGCCAUUUUUAUUGGGUCUAAUACAUCCGUAGCUUGCUUGAUAAGUCUUCUGUGAAAUUUUAUAUCUCAAAUAUGAAGCGUGCAGAAGGUACUGUCAAGCUAGAGACUGGUAGACGUAAAGAGUAUGUUCAGAGUAGCGGUAAAAUGUGUUAAUCCUGGACAGACUAACAAGAGCGAAGGCACUUUACGAGAACAGUUCUGACAGUAAGGGAUGAAGGCUAGGGGCGCAAAACGGAUUAGAUACCCCGGUAGUC
rnacentral:rRNA from 1 species